rnacentral:pre_miRNA from 1 species
CGUUAACAUCUUGGAUGAAGUGCUUGCGAAAGCGCUAGCACUAGUUUGCAAACUCUCCGUAGUAAAUUAAUUUCAGAAAUCAAAGGAAAAAAAACACUCACCAUGGUGGCUAAAGCGGCGGAAUGGCUAAAUGAGCUAGUAACUUUCACUAGCGAGUCAUUUGAGACCACUUUAACUGCCAUGGUGAGUGUUUAUUUUCCUUUGAUUUUUGUAAUUGGUUUGUUGCAGAGAGUUUACAGAUUGGUGUUAGUGCUUCCACAAGCGC